rnacentral:rRNA from 1 species
AUGGGCGGCCAUGGGUUCUGCCGCCGGCGUCGUUCACUGCUACAACCACGACGUCGCAAAUUCUACAAACGGCAACUGGCCGUGCUGGAACUAGCUAUGCGGUGUGCUGGAACCGGCGGAAAAAAUGCUACAUCAAAGAGACUAAGUGUUGGGGACCGGAUGCCGGAGCUGCAUCCAGAGACUUUUUUUGCUACAUCCGGCAUCGUUCUUUGCUGGAACCAGUCAAUUGUCCGCUACAAGGUCGGCACGGCAGAAGCUUCAACCGUUUCUGAAAAAAGCUUCAACCGGCUAUGGAAAAGCUUCAUCCGGCUAGAGGAAAAGCUUCAAAGUGGCAUGAGGGAAAAUCUGUUCACUGCGGGAAAAAAGCUUCAAGCGGCCAUGAAAAAGCUUCAACCGGCAAGAGGAAAAUCCACAUGUGAAAAACGCUUCAACCGGGGAACGCCAAUGAUAGGAGCUGACGACGGCGAGAGCUGCGGCCGACACCAUGGUGGUGCCGCGACGGGCGAGCUACAGGCACGUCGGGGCUAG